rnacentral:rRNA from 1 species
GAUGAACGCUGGCGGCGUGCCUAAUACAUGCAAGUCGAGCGAACAGACGAGGAGCUUGCUCCUCUGACGUUAGCGGCGGACGGGUGAGUAACACGUGGAUAACCUACCUAUAAGACUGGGAUAACUUCGGGAAACCGGAGCUAAUACCGGAUAAUAAAUUGAACCGCAUGGUUCAAUAGUGAAAGACGGUUUUGCUGUCACUUAUAGAUGGAUCCGCGCUGCAUUAGCUAGUUGGUAAGGUAACGGCUUACCAAGGCAACGAUGCGUAGCCGACCUGAGAGGGUGAUCGGCCACACUGGAACUGAGACACGGUCCAGACUCCUACGGGAGGCAGCAGUAGGGAAUCUUCCGCAAUGGGCGAAAGCCUGACGGAGCAACGCCGCGUGAGUGAUGAAGGUCUUCGGAUCGUAAAACUCUGUUAUUAGGGAAGAACAAAUGUGUAAGUAACUAUGCACGUCUUGACGGUACCUAAUCAGAAAGCCACGGCUAACUACGUG